AUCCCCUGGCAAUGGGCAAAGGGACCCCUUGGUGGUGGUGUUCUUACAUCAGUCAGGGAGAAGAGCAGAAGGCAGGCCUUUGUUCAUCCUACCUUGAUAUCUGGCAUGGUGCUCAAAUUUGUUUAUGCCUAGGACAUACAA